AUUAUUAUUAUUAUUAUCAUUAUCAUUCUUCUUAUUAUUAUUGUUAUUAUUAUUAUUAUUAUUAUUAUCAUUAUUAUUAUUUUCUUAACCCACACAGUAAUAGCAAAGUCACAAUAAACUUUAUAUCUAAAACUCUAUACUGUCAAAGCGCUUUGAGUACCUUCAUUUAUCAUUUACUGUGAGAAAAAUGUGAUCCGCCGUAAACACAGUGCAUUUUGUUUUGAAAAUGAACCCGGUGUUUUAUUUUGUAUUUUGUUCACUACUUCCUGUCCCGCACGAUCCGCUCUGCUCUGUGCGGACUUGAUGUGCCGUGCUCAAUUGAUGCGCCGUGCUCCGACUCCCGGCAAAAACAGAAGCUGACACAUUGAAUAAUAGAAUAAUACAGCGUUUUUCUGAAAUAUUACCCAUAUUAGAUGCUGAAUAAGUGGACGGCGACUAGACCAUAACUCACAGGUUCAACUUGCUCCACUGUCACGUCUCAGGGGCGCAGUUGGCUCUCUCUCCUCUCACUUACUCACACUCGCCCUCUCUCUCUCUCUCUGGCGGAACGGCAGGCUCAAACAACCCGGUAUUACAAGGAAACGUGGAGUUUUUGUACCACUGUUUUUUUUUUUACAUCUCUGACAGGAAUUUAUUAAUGUUGUUUAAAGGAAAAAAACAAGAAAAAAACACACACACACAGGCAGAGGGCACUUUUUAAGACGAGGAAAAAAAGGGCAGGGGCUCGAGCACCCAUAGGGCCCUAUGUGUGCACGUGCCUGCUUGGACACACUCAUCUAUACCUUUGGCCUUUCUGAGCCAGUACUUUCCAGAAGUUAUUUCAUCCUGUGAGAAGCGUCAAUUUUACUAAUGAUUUCCAAUGUUGCAAAAAUGUGUAGAAUAGAAAUUAAAAUACAACAUAUCUGUCAACGAAGAUUUGCGUCAGCCUUUGAUAGUAGGCUAAUAUAGCUAAUUAGCCACUUGCAUCAUGUGUUGCCUUAAUUAUACAUAGGGCUUUAAUUUUUUUGCAGACAGAUUUUCAUUUUUUAUAUUUGGUCCAAUAUGGUUCUUUCAUCUGUUUUGGUUGCCGACCCCUGUACUAGUCUAUCCCAGCUGCAUUCUGGCAGAAGGCGGGGUACACCCUGGACGAGUUGCCACCUUAUCGCAGAAUAUCCAAAUGAUAUGUGUAAUUUCUUAUACUACUCAUCUGAUUUAUUUAUUUAUUUUUUGCUAAAGUUGGUAGCGUAAGAAGGUACAAUUUGCAGAUAAAUACUGUAGGCUGCAAUGACGUGUGAUGGCCACAAGGUGAGUAGUGGUGGAUGAAUAAACCCGACUAUCUAUAGUAUCGAUACCAAGAGAUAGCAGUAUCAGUAUCGGAUCCAUACUACUGUGAUACAAGUGGUAUUUUUUUAGGUCUUAUUUAUGUUUAUUUUAUUUUUGUUUGCUGUCAUUCAUAUUUGUACAUUUUAUAUGUAGUUAAAGUUAUAGUUUAUUUACAAACUACAACUAUAAAGCCAACAGAUUUGAAUGAUUAAAAUUUAGUUUUUUUGCAAUACAAUCGUCCCAAGCAACAUCAUGCACCAAAUAUUACGACUUUACCACAUCGCAGAUUUUUUGAAAUAUUUUCAAAUUUUUAAGGCCAAUUUUACAGCUUUUCGUAGAAUGAAAUGAAGUACUUUCAAGCAUAACAUUGGCUAAACAAACUAAAAAUAUCAAUCCUACAGUAAUAUUUAAGUCCCAUCUUAAAACUCAUUUGUAUACUUUUAAAUAGACCCCUUUUAAGACCAGUUGAUCUGCCGUCUCUCUUUUCUGCUCUGCCCCUCCUCUCCUGCGUGGAGAGGUUAUCAGGUGGCCACGGAGGACGCGCUAGCUGUUCCAAGUGCUCUGUGCGUCAGUUGGUGACGUCUCUGCGCUGCUGACUUGGCUACAUACAAGAGGAUCCCCAGCUGGCCUCACUAUGAACUGGACUCUCACGUUAUUAAGCGGGGGAAGUCAGGGGAGAUCCCCACAUCUGCGGUCCCUUGCAAGGUUUCUCAUGGAGUGAAAAAGCUUUGGACAAUCCACUACACAAAUUGGCGUCACGAACAGGAUGGUUUAGAAGCUACAGGUCGACAGCCGCUCCCGCUCUCUCUGUCAGGCAGACAGUGUGCUGCACGCGCGCAUAACAAGGAACUUCCUGAUGUUGCCUGACAGCACGACAUCAGCUGACAACUACUGGGGACGCCUCCCAGGAACGAGUGGAAGACGGGGACUGCUCCAACUGUCCUAGCGCUGGCUGACGGAGGUGCGUCCGUGUGUCCUGCCACCCAAACCGCCAAAGUGUAUGAUCACCAAUUAGACGUCUCAUAAUAGGAGCCUUUUGACUCUUAUAUAUGGUGGGACUCAAGGUAUGGCCGCUCAUGUGAACUAUCCUUACAACAAUUAGAAUGGUAUAAGAUGGACAACUAAUGACCCACAUUGUUUCUUUGCUCUCUGUCCUGCCUACGAAACCAAAAAUGUAGGUCAAAUGAUAAAACAGGGCGUAGCUGCCGCUGAUUGAACCGAUACGCAAAUACAAACAUUUUCAAUUAUUUCGGUUGUCUGUUAAAAACAAAGCUAUUGGUUGCAAUUUGGACAUUCCUGCUGUAGGCUACAAAGAGCUAGCAGCUACACAACAGCUAAGCUAAAACAAAAUUUAAGCAUAUCAAAUAAUUGUAGUUGCUUAUUACAUACACAAAGUCGCAGAGAGACAGAAGUCUGUAGAAAGUAUUCAGUAACAAACGUGUCCGCAUUAUUAAACUUUCUACCACAGGAAACAUACUGAACAAAUACAGCAGUUACUGUCAGACUCUAAUCCGGAUUACCGUGUCUAUCAGAGACAUGGUUAAAACCCACAACAACUUUACGUUCUAAUUAAUGUCCCGGGGGACAAGAUUACAGAAAAGACAGAUCGAGUGACAAAGGGGGGAGGAAUUAUGAUUUAUGAAAGGGAAAACAUUAAAAGUAGAUCAAUUUGAGUAUGUUGAAAUUAAAAUCACAUUUUCCUCAGAAAUGUAUUUCAAGGUAAUUGUAGUAUACCGACCGACCACAGCUAAAGACAUUUUUCUUGAUUCAUUUUCAGACAUCCUCAAACAGCAUAGUAUGAAAGAAGUAACGUCAUGGGGGACGUUAAUCUGGACUGGUUAAAUAAAACACGUAGAAAGAAACUUAAGGAUAUUAUAAACGGCUUCUAUAUGAUACAAAUGAUAAGCAGCCCUACUAGAAUUACAAUUGGAUGACAAAAAUCAAAGAGAACAUCUGUAAAUACACGAAUACAAAACAGAAAGAAGAGUGCUAAAAUAAAAAUACCAUUGGAUUCUAAUAAAGACAUGAGGACUCAGCUCUCAUAAGAGCAAUUAUAACAGGUCUAAAUAUAGAUCGUAUGAUUUAAAAGUUUGGAGGAACAUAGUUACAGUGUUUAUGCGGAAGUCUAAGGCUGACUUUCACUUAGAAUUAAUCAAAGCUGCAAAAGGGAACAAUAGAGAGUUAUGGAAAACCAGAUACAAACUUACGGAAAGAGAGCAAACAAGAAACAACACUAUAACAUUAAAUAUCAAUGGCGCUACUAUCGCAGACAGUCUGGACAUAAGUAAUAAUUUUAAUGAACAUUUCAUCCAGUCUGUACAAACCCUGAAUAAAAAGUACCUCAAAAUCAGUGCAAAUAAUUGUCAUUUAUUCAGGAUGGACUAAUUUUAGAAUUAACAAAUGAAACAAAGUUAAACAAAAUCUUCACUGCAUUAUCAGACUCACGAUCUAGACAUAUAUAUAUAUGGGUUGGACACAAUCUUCCUAAAAACAUAUAAGGAUUGUAUUAUUGCUCGUAUAACAACAAUUGAUAAAUAAAUCAAUAACGGAAAACACUUUCCCUACCACGUGGAGAAACUGCUACUAUGAUUAAAUCCAUAAAGCAGGAAAUAAAGAAGACCAGAACAUGUACAGACCAAUUAGCCUUCUCCACGUUAUAACAAAAGGAAUAGAAAAUUUGAAAUUAAAAAGUGGCUUUGGAGCAAUCAAGGCUGCUCACACGGUCACUAAGAGGGGCAUUAUGUUGACACAUCAAUUUAAUGAGUAUUAUAUUUAUCCAUGAGAGCAUUUUUGUUGUAAAUUGUGAGGUAUGGUUGUUAAAAUCUUGGUUGUUGUUACGAAUGAUGACAGAUGUGAACAAGAGCAUGUAUUGUCUUUGUGUGAUGAUGUAAAUAAGGUGUGGUUGUAUUGUAUAUUAAGAAUGUGUCCAUGAAGGGGCAUUUUAUGACUUUUCUUAAUUUGAUUACAUGCUACAGUAUGAUUAUUUUUUGAUUAAUUAUUGAUUAUUAUGAAUGUAUAUAUUUAUUAUGAUUAAUUAGUGUCAUAAUUUUAUUGCUUGAUUUGUGGAUCCCCUUAAUUUAGGUAGCCAGGGACUACAGAUGGAAAGUAGCUAUUUAGAUAUAAUCUGGUACAGAACACAUCUGUUUCUGAACUUAAUGUUUCUGUGCAUUGUCCCAUCGUAGAUAGACUAAAUUAAAUACAACUAUUUAGUGAAUUACUGAGGCCACAAUAAUUCACUAGGUGUUGUAAAAUAUCAAAGUACUAUUGCAAAAGCGAACAGUGACCUCAAACAUGACCUGUCCUCCGCCUCUGUUCUUGCUGCACUUGACUAUCAGCUGUCUUUUCUUUUUCUUGGAUGUUUCUGAAACUACUACUACUACUACUACUAUUACUAUUACUAUUACUACGACUAACACUGUCCCUGUGAGAGGGACAGAGGGGGGAGGUGAGUUUGGAUUGGGUCAAGUUUGAGCGUGUUGAGGUUUUUUUUUAAUCAAUAUGAUCAAUCCGGUACAAGGAUAAAGUAACGUAAUGAUUUAGAUUGACAAUUGCAGUGGUUGGCGAAAGCAACCCCAACCUCAAAGGAGGGUGCCAAUUCAGUAAUUAAAUGUUUUGUGAAUGAUCUAAUAUCCCGACAUGGUUUCCCCAAAAAGAUUAGGUCAAACAACGGCACCUAUUUUAAGAAAACAGGUUAAUCUUCUUCAUUCACAAGAUCAGCACUUCUCAGGACCAGCAGCUUCCUAGGAAGGUGGAAAGACCAUGAGACCAAAAUGGUAAGUUUGCAAAAUGUAGAAUUUGUGUGCCAGUUCCUCUGUGCAGAUUUGAGGAUGAAAGCAGCCACUCCAGAUUCCCUUGCACUCGCUAAGAGGGGCACGAUCAAAGCCGAUCCAGGACCAACACCCGAUACCUGACUGGAAGGAACCGAGAGGAGAGACUACACCUUGCCAGCGAUGACGAGAACGACUAAGGUUGCCAGCCAAUAUGUGUCCGUCGGGAUUCCAGCAGCUGUGGAAGGAGGCCCUGAAGCAAGCCGAGGGCCUGGACCAAAGCCCCACGCCCCAUACUCUGCCCCAGCCUUCCCCAAAGCCCCCACAGCUCCAACUCUACCUGAGUUUUCCCCAAAGCGGCCAGCGCGCACAUGCCAUUGCACAGUCUGCCCAAUGGACUGAACCACACCCCAAGAAGAGACAGAGACAGACUGUUUGAGUGGAUCUCUUUCUUCACCAAGGCAGCCAAAAGCCCAACGAGGUAUCGGCAGGCCACCAGCCUGAGGCACCACCGAGCCAUCUAUACGAGCUCUAAUCGAACAUGGACUCAUACGAAAUUCAGUUGUGUGUUCAAAAUCAAUUGAUGAUUAACAAUAUUGGUAACUACAUUCAUUGCAAAUGCCGGGAAAAAUAUUUUUGCAAAUGUCUUAUAAGUCUAUAUACAUUCAUCUAUUUAUGUUCAAUGAUGUUCAUGAUCAAAGUAUUUGUUAUUCCUUUACUAAAUCAAAGGGUAGGCCACUAAUUGUGUUCUGUGAGAUGGUUUUACUGCAGGCUGGUAACAGCGAUCGCUCUGAAGGAGGGUCAUAGACGGAAUUUUUGCCUCGUAUAAAAACAUUGAGGUUUUUGCCUCUAUCUGUGGUAGAGAUUUAACUUAGUGGUCUACAUCAGAAAUUGUUUUGGUCCAGGGUCUUAAGACCCUGGAAGGAGGGUAUGUCGUAGAAUUUCUGACCUUUUGACCUAUAUUUCUUGUCUUUUAAGAAUGUCCGCUCAUUUUCAAUUCUCUUUUAUUUUGUGCCAUUGAAUGGACCAGUUGUGGGACAAAGGUGAAUAUGGAGUUAUGCCAACCUGUCUACAGAAUGUUUAGAUUUUCCAAAUAUGACUAAGAGAUACAAGGUUGUUUUGGAACAGACAAAACCAAAACAAAACAAUCAUGACGCACUCGAUAAAAAACAAUGACGCACAAGAGACAUAUAAAAAAUGGCAGAAGACCGGAACUCGGGAGUGAUUUUGGCUUGUGUGUGUCUUGUUUGCUCCGGAGUAACAUGUGGUACUAAACUACUUUUGUUGCCUGUUUAAGCUUCGGACAAUCCACUACACUUCCUCCCAGGGAUUUUAAGCUGCUGGUCACUCCCAAAUUCUUAAAUGGCACAUAAGCUGAAAUUUAAAUUCAUCCCCAGGCAGUAGUUGGUAUGUUGUGGUUUAUUCUCAAAGCUUUGAAAACAAACGUGAGACCAAAUCCAGUACACAAGCGUUCCCUCGCCCAGUCUAGAUCGAUCUUCCCAAAUCCCUGAACUCCUGUGUUCUUCCCUCUGUCCCUCGCCCCCCCCCCCCCCCCGCC